rnacentral:rRNA from 1 species
UAGUUGGUGGAGUGAUUUGUCUGGUUAAUUCCGUUAACGAACGAGACCUCAGCCUGCUAACUAGUAGUGCUUAUCCUUUGUCCAGCUGUUGUCUGUUUUCUUAGUCACCUUUUCGUGGAUUCCAUUCGUGGUUCCGCGGUUAGGCCUUUGAUUCGCUCAAGAGCGGGCAUUCCGGGAUAGGAUAACUCUUUCGCUUCACGCGUGAGAGCGUUCGACUUCUUAGAGGGACUAUCUGUGCGUAGCAGAUGGAAGUUUGAGGCAAUAACAGGUCU